GACGAACGCUGGCGGCGUGCUUAACACAUGCAAGUCGAACGGAAAGGCCCUGCUUUUGUGGGGUGCUCGAGUGGCGAACGGGUGAGUAACACGUGAGUAACCUGCCCUUGACUUUGGGAUAACUUCAGGAAACUGGGGCUAAUACCGGAUAGGAGCUCCUGCUGCAUGGUGGGGGUUGGAAAGUUUCGGCGGUUGGGGAUGGACUCGCGGCUUAUCAGCUUGUUGGUGGGGUAGUGGCUUACCAAGGCUUUGACGGGUAGCCGGCCUGAGAGGGUGAACGGGCACAUUGGGACUGAGAGACGGCCCAGACGCCUACGGGAGGCAGCAGUGGGGAAUAUGGCACAAUGGGCGGAAGCCUGAGGCAGAAACGCCGCGUGCGGGAUGACGGCCUUCGGGGUGUAAACCGAUUUCGCCUGUGACGAAGAGUGAGUGACGGUAAUGGGUAAAGAAGCACCGGCUAACUACGUG
rnacentral:rRNA from 1 species